UACGUAGGGUGCAAGCGUUGUCCGGAAUUAUUGGGCGUAAAGAGCUCGUAGGCGGUCUGUCGCGUCUGCUGUGAAAACUCGGGGCUUAACCCCGGGCCUGCAGUGGGUACGGGCAGACUAGAGUGCGGUAGGGGAGACCGGAAUUCCUGGUGUAGCGGUGAAAUGCGCAGAUAUCAGGAGGAACACCGGUGGCGAAGGCGGGUCUCUGGGCCGUAACUGACGCUGAGGAGCGAAAGCGUGGGGAGCGAACAGG
rnacentral:rRNA from 1 species